rnacentral:rRNA from 1 species
GACGAACGCUGGCGGCGUGCCUAAUACAUGCAAGUAGAACGCUGAAGGAGGAGCUUGCUUCUCCGGAUGAGUUGCGAACGGGUGAGUAACGCGUAGGUAACCUGCCUGGUAGCGGGGGAUAACUAUUGGAAACGAUAGCUAAUACCGCAUAAGAGUAGAUGUCGCAUGACAUUUGCUUAAAAGGUGCAACUGCACCACUACCAGAUGGACCUGCGUUGUAUUAGCUAGUUGGUGAGGUAACGGCUCACCAAGGCAACGAUACAUAGCCGACCUGAGAGGGUGAUCGGCCACACUGGGACUGAGACACGGCCCAGAAUCCUACGGGAGGCAGCAGUAGGGAAUCUUUGGCAAUGGACGGAAGUCUGACCGAGCAACGCCGCGGGAGUGAAGAAGGUUUUCGGAUCGUAAAGCUCUGUUGUAAGAGGAGAACGAGUGUGAGAGUGGAAAGUUCACACUGUGACGGUAUCUUACCAGAAAGGGACGGCUAACUACGUG